CGGGACGGGUGAGUAAUGUCUGGGAAACUGCCUGAUAGAGGGGGAUAACUACUGGAAACGGUAGCUAAUACCGCAUAACGUCGCAAGACCAAAGAGGGGGACCUUCGGGCCUCUUGCCAUCGGAUGUGCCCAGAUGGGAUUAGCUAGUAGGUGGGGUAACGGCUCACCUAGGCGACGAUCCCUAGCUGGUCUGAGAGGAUGACCAGCCACACUGGGACUGAGACACGGUCCAG
rnacentral:rRNA from 1 species